UCCCAGACUCCUACGGGAGGCAGCAGUGAGGAAUAUUGGUCAAUGGUCGGGAGACUGAACCAGCCAAGCCGCGUGAGGGAGGAAGGUACAGAGUAUCGUAAACCUCUUUUGUCAGGGAACAAAGACUGGGACGCGUCCCCGGAUGAGUGUACCUGAAGAAAAAGCAUCGGCUAACUCCGUGCCAGCAGCCGCGGUAAUACGGAGGAUGCGAGCGUUAUCCGGAUUUAUUGGGUUUAAAGGGAGCGUAGAUGGGUUGUUAAGUCAGUUGUGAAAGUUUGCGGCUCAACCGUAAAAUUGCAAUUGAUACUGGCAGCCUUGAGUACAGUUGAGGUAGGCGGAAUUCGUGGUGUAGCGGUGAAAUGCUUAGAUAUCACGAAGAACCCCGAUUGCGAAGGCAGCCUGCCGCAGCGUUACUGACGCUGAAGCUCGAAAGCGCGGGUAUCGAACAGGAUUAGAUACCCCCGUA
rnacentral:rRNA from 1 species